GAUGUCGGGCUUCCUGGCAUGCCAGGAUCCAUGGAGCACGUGGACAUGGGCAGCAUGAAGGGGCAGAAAGGAGACCAGGGAGAGAAAGGACAAAUUGGACCCACUGGUGAUAAAGGUUCCCGAGGAGACCCCGGAACACCAGGAGUGCCCGGGAAGGAUGGGCAGGCAGGGCACCCUGGACAGCCAGGAUCCCCUGGACUUCCUGGACCCAAAGGAUCGGUUGGAGGAAUGGGCUUGCCAGGUUCGCCCGGAGAGAAAGGCGUUCCGGGCAUCCCUGGCUCACAGGGUGUCCCUGGCUCACCUGGAGAGAAAGGAGCUAAGGGAGAGAAAGGGCAGUCAGGUCUCCCUGGCAUUGGAAUUCCUGGACGGCCUGGUGACAAGGGAGAUCAGGGGCUUGCAGGUUUCCCAGGCAGCCCUGGUGAGAAGGGAGAGAAAG
rnacentral:lncRNA from 1 species